rnacentral:rRNA from 1 species
GAACGAUGAAGCCUAGCUUGCUAGGUGGAUUAGUGGCGAACGGGUGAGUAAUACGUGAGUAACCUACCUUUAACUCUGGGAUAAGCCUGGGAAACUGGGUCUAAUACCGGAUACGACCAAUCUCCGCAUGGGGUGUUGGUGGAAAGCGUUAUGUAGUGGUUAUAGAUGGGCUCACGGCCUAUCAGCUUGUUGGUGAGGUAACGGCUCACCAAGGCGACGACGGGUAGCCGGCCUGAGAGGGUGACCGGCCACACUGGGACUGAGACACGGCCCAGACUCCUACGGGAGGCAGCAGUGGGGAAUAUUGCACAAUGGGCGCAAGCCUGAUGCAGCGACGCCGCGUGAGGGAUGACGGCCUUCGGGUUGUAAACCUCUGUUAGCAGGGAAGAAGAGAGAUUGACGGUACCUGCAGAGAAAGCGCCGGCUAACUACGUGCCAGCAGCCGCGGUAAUACGUAGGGCGCGAGCGUUGUCCGGAAUUAUUGGGCGUAAAGAGCUUGUAGGCGGUUUGUCGCGUCUGCUGUUAAAGGCCGGAGCUUAACUCCGUGUAUUGCAGUGGGUACGGGCAGACUAGAGUGCAGUAGGGGAGACUGGAAUUCCUGGUGUAGCGGUGGAAUGCGCAGAUAUCAGGAGGAACACCGAUGGCGAAGGCAGGUCUCUGGGCUGUAACUGACGCUGAGAAGCGAAAGCAUGGGGAGCGAACAGGAUUAGAUACCCUGGUAGUCCAUGCCGUAAACGUUGGGCACUAGGUGUGGGGAACAUUCCACGUUUUCCGCGCC